rfam:Gossypium hirsutum cultivar TM-1 chromosome 2, whole genome shotgun sequence
AGUUUAUGAUGAAGACAACUUCUCAACAAAUCUUUAAAUCUCUCCCAUGCAUCAUAAGUGUCUCAAUGUCAAAUUGAACCAAAGAAGAGAUGUCAUUCCUUAACUU